UACGUAGGCAGCGAGCGUUGUUCGGAGUUACUGGGCGUAAAGCGUGCGUAGGUGGUUUGUUAAGUCUGUUGUGAAAGCCCCGGCUCAACCUGGGAAUGGCAAUGGAUACUGGCAGGCUAGAGUGCGGUAGAGGGUAGUGGAAUUCCCGGUGUAGCGGUGAAAUGCGUAGAGAUCGGGAGGAACACCCAGUGGCGAAGGCGGCUACCUGGACCAGCACUGACCACUGAGGCACGAAAGCGUGGG
rnacentral:rRNA from 1 species